rnacentral:lncRNA from 1 species
GAGAACAGAGGAUCAGGAACAGAAACAUAGAGCUGGAGAACAGAGGAUCAGGAACAGAAACAUAGAGCUGGAGAACAGAGGAUCAGGAACAAAAACAUAGAGCUGGAGACCAGAGGAUAAGGAACAAAAACAUAGCUGGAGAACAGAGGAUCAGGAACAGAAAUAUAGAGCUGGAGAACAGAGGAUCAGGAACAGAAACAUAGAGCUGGAGAACAGAGGAUCAAGAACAGAAACAUAGAGCUGGAGAACAGAGGAUCAGGAACAAAAAAAGAGCUGGAGAACAGAGGAUCAGGAACAGAAACAGAGCUUGAGAACAGAGGAUCAGGAACAGAAACAUAGAGCUGGAGAACAGAGGAUCAGGAACAGAAACAUAGAGCUGGAGAACAGAGGAUCAGGAACAGAAACAUAGAGCUGGAGAACAGGGGAUCAGGAACAGAAACAUAGAGCUGGAGAACAGAGGAUCAGGAACAGAAACAUAGAGCUGGAGAACAGAGGAUCAGGAACAGAAACAGAGCUGGAGAACAGAGGAUCAGGAACAGAAACAUAGAGCUGGAGAACAGGGGAUCAGGAACAGAAACAUAGAGCUGGAGAACAGAGGAUCAGGAACAGAAACAUAGAGCUGGAGAACAGGGGAUCAGGAACAGAAAUAUAGAGCUGGAGAACAGAGGAUCAGGAACAGAAACAUAGAGCUGGAGAACAGAGGAUCAGGAACAGAAACAUAGAGCUGGAGAACAGAGGAUCAGAAACAUAGAGCUGGAGAACAGAGGAUCAGGAACAGAAACAUAGAGCUGGAGAACAGGGGAUCAGGAACAGAAACAUAGAGCUGGAGAACAGGGGAUCAGGAACAGAAACAUAGAGCUGGAGAACAGAUGAUCAGGAACAGAAACAUAGAGCUGGAGAACAGGGGAUCAGGAACAGAAACAUAGAGCUGGAGAACAGAGGAUCAGGAACAGAAACAUAGAGCUGGAGAACAGAGGAUCAGGAACAGGAAACAUAGAGCUGGAGAACAGAGGAUCAGGAACAUAGUGCUGGAGAACAGAGGAUCAGGAACAGGAAACAUACAGCUGGAGAACAGAGGAUCAGGAACAUAGAGCUGGAGAACAGAGGAUCAGGAACAGGAAACAUAGAGCUGGAGAACAGAGGAUCAGGAACAGAAACAUAGAGCUGGAGAACAGAGGAUCAGGAACAGAAACAUAGAGCUGGAGAACAGAGGAUCAGGAACAGAAACAUAGAGCUGGAGAACAGAGGAUCAGAAACAUAGAGCUGGAGAACAGGGGAUCAGAAACAUAGAGCUGGAGAACAGAGGAUCAGGAACAGAAACAUAGAGCUGGAGAACAGGGGAUCAGGAACAGAAACAUAGAGCUGGAGAACAGAUGAUCAGGAACAGAAACAUAGAGCUGGAGAACAGAGGAUCAGGAACAGAAACAUAGAGCUGGAGAACAGAGGAUCAGGAACAGAAACAUAGAGCUGGAGAACAGGGGAUCAGGAACAGAAACAUAGAGCUGGAGAACAGAGGAUCAGGAACAGAAACAUAGAGCUGGAGAACAGAGGAUCAGGAACAGGAAACAUAGAGCUGGAGAACAGAGGAUCAGGAACAUAGUGCUGGAGAACAGAGGAUCAGGAACAGGAAACAUAGAGCUGGAGAACAGAGGAUCAGGAACAUAGAGCUGGAGAACAGAGGAUCAGGAACAGGAAACAUAGAGCUGGAGAACAGAGGAUCAGGAACAGAAACAUAGAGCUGGAGAACAGAGGAUCAGGAACAGAAACAUAGAGCUGGAGAACAGAGGAUCAGGAACAGAAACAUAGAGCUGGAGAACAGAGGAUCAGAAACAUAGAGCUGGAGAACAGGGGAUCAGAAACAUAGAGCUGGAGAACAGAGGAUCAGGAACAGAAACAUAGAGCUGGAGAACAGGGGAUCAGGAACAGAAACAUAGAGCUGGAGAACAGAGGAUCAGGAACAGAAACAUAGAGCUGGAGAACAGAGGAUCAGGAACAGAAACAUAGAGCUGGAGAACAGAGGAUCAGGAACAGAAACAUAGAGCUGGAGAACAGGGGAUCAGGAACAGAAAUAUAGAGCUGGAGAACAGAGGAUCAGGAACAGAAAUAUAGAGCUGGAGAACAGGGGAUCAGGAACAUAGAGCUGGAGAACAGAGGAUCAGGAACAGAAACAUAGAGCUGGAGAACAGAGGAUCAGGAACAGAAACAUAGAGCUGGAGAACAGGGGAUCAGGAACAGAAACAUAGAGCUGGGGAACAGGGGAUCAGGAACAGAAACAUAGAGCUGGAGAACAGGGGAUCAGGAACAGAAACAUAGAGCUGGAGAACAGAGGAUCAGGAACAGAAACAUAGAGCUGGAGAACAGAGGAUCAGGAACAGAAACAUAGAGCUGGAGAACAGAGGAUCAGGAACAGAGACAUAGAGCUGGAGAACAGAGGAUCAGGAACAGAAACAUAGAGCUGGAGAACAGGGGAUCAGGAACAGAAACAUAGAGCUGGAGAACAGGGGAUCAGGAACAGAAACAUAGAGCUGGAGAACAGAGGAUCAGGAACAGAAACAGGAGAGAAGAGAUACAGGAAGCUGGAUCAGGGAUGCAGGAGAGCAGAGACAUACAGGAAGCGGGAUCAGGGAUGCAGGAGAGCAGAGACAUACAGGAAGCGGGAUCAGGGAUGCAGGAGAGCAGAGACAUACAGGAAGCUGGAACAGGGAUGCAGGAGAGCAGAGACAUACAGGAAGCGGGAUCAGGGAUGCAGGAGAGCAGAGACAUACAGGAAGCUGGAUCAGGGAUGCAGGAGAGCAGAGACAUACAGGAAGCUGGAUCAGGGAUGCAGGAGAGCAGCGACACUGUGUGUCUGAUAUGAAACCCUUUCCCUUAUCUAGUGCACUAUUUCUU